rnacentral:rRNA from 1 species
GAUGAACGCUGGCGGCGUGCUUAACACAUGCAAGUCGAACGGAAAGGCUCCUGCUUGCAGGGGUACUCGAGUGGCGAACGGGUGAGUAACACGUGGGUAAUCUGCCCUGCACUUCGGGAUAAGCCUGGGAAACUGGGUCCAAUACCGGAUAGUACCACAUUUUGGAUGGUGUGGUGGAAAGUUUUUCGGUUUGGGAUGAGCUCGCGGCCUAUCAGCUUGUUGGUGAGGUAAUGGCCUACCAAGGCGUCGACGGGUAGCCGGCCUGAGAGGGUGUACGGCCACAGUGGGACUGAGAUACGGCCCAGACUCCGACGGGAGGCAGCAGUGGGGAAUAUUGCACAAGGGGCGCAAGCCUGAUGCAGCGACGCCGCGUGGGGGAUGACGGCCUUCGGGUUGUAAACUCCUUUCGCUAGGGACGAAGAGCAAGUGACGGUACCUGGAGAAGAAGCACCGGCUAACUACGUG